rnacentral:rRNA from 1 species
GUGAGUCAUCGAAUCUUUGAACGCACCUUGCGCCUUUUGGCUAUUCCGAAGGGCAUGCCUGUUUGAGUAUCAUGAACACCUCAACCCUCAUGGUCUGUCAUGAGUGGGCUUGGACUUUGGAGGUUUUGCUGGCUUGCUGUCGGCUCCUCUCAAAUGAAUUAGCUUGCCAGUGCAUGGUGGCAUCACAGGUGUGAUAAUUAUCUGCGCUUGUGGCUGUCCGCUAGGUAACCUUCAGCUUUGGAGGUUUGCUGGGGCUCACAAACGUCUCUCCUCUGCAGGGACAGCUUUCUGAACGUUUGAUCUCAAAUCAGGUAGGAUUACCCGCUGAACUUAAGCAUAUCAAUAAGCGGAGG